rnacentral:rRNA from 1 species
GACGAACGCUGGCGGCGUGCUUAACACAUGCAAGUCGAACGGAAAGGCCCUGCUUUUGUGGGGUGCUCGAGUGGCGAACGGGUGAGUAACACGUGAGUAACCUGCCCUUGACUUUGGGAUAACUUCAGGAAACUGGGGCUAAUACCGGAUAGGAGCUCCUGCUGCAUGGUGGGGGUUGGAAAGUUUCGGCGGUUGGGGAUGGACUCGCGGCUUAUCAGCUUGUUGGUGGGGUAGUGGCUUACCAAGGCUUUGACGGGUAGCCGGCCUGAGAGGGUGACCGGCCACAUUGGGACUGAGAUACGGCCCAGACUCCUACGGGAGGCAGCAGUGGGGAAUAUUGCACAAUGGGCGGAGGCCUGAUGCAGCAGCGCCGGGUGCGGGAUGACGGCCUUCGGGUGGUAAACCGCUUUCGCCUGUGACGAAGCGUGAGUGACGGUAAUGGGUAAAGAAGCACCGGCUAACUACGU